GAAUGAAGUGGGUUGAAAGCUUGAGCUCUCAGGUUCGAAUCCCAGCAGAGACAAAAAAACACUAGGUGAUCUUUUCAUCUGUCCUAGCUUGGUGGACAAAGUUAUCUGGCACGUAUCGCGUGUAUUUAGUCGAGGUGCGCGAAAGCUGGCUCGAACAGUACGAUUAUAAAAAAAAAAAAAAAGUAAACACAAACAUAGACCUUUAACUUACUAUAUUUACACAAAUCCCCAUCCUUAUAAAGUAAUUACAAAAAUCUUAAUUAGUUAUGUAUCUUCGCUAGAUGUAUCAGGAGCUAAUUAUGUAUCUCGAUAGAUCCAAAAUUGAAAAAUAUGUAUCGGGAGCUAAUUAUGUAUAUUUAUAAAACAAAAUGUAUCUUCGUUGGAUGUAUGGGGAGCUAAUUAUGUAUCUCGACAGACCCAAAAUUGGGAUUUUCAGUAAUUAUGAAAAAUGUUGGGAUUUUCAGUAAUUAUGAUAAAUGUUGGGAUUUUCAAUAAUUAUGAAAAAUGAAACACUCUAUUAGUACCCUUUUAAUUCCCCUAUCAGAGAAUCAUAGGCGGGAACCUUCACCACCGUGAGCAAA